rnacentral:rRNA from 1 species
UACGAAGGGGGCUAGCGUUGCUCGGAAUGACUGGGCGUAAAGGGCGCGUAGGCGGCUUGCAGAGUCGGACGUGAAAUUCCUGGGCUUAACCUGGGGGCUGCGUUCGAUACCUGCAGGCUGGAGUGAGGAAGAGGGUCGUGGAAUUCCAGGUGUAGCGGUGAAAUGCGUAGAUAUCUGGAGGAACACCGGUGGCGAAGGCGGCAUCCUGGACCAACACUGACACUGAAAAGCGAAAGCCAGGGGAGCAAACGGG